rnacentral:lncRNA from 1 species
GGGCAACAUAGUGAGACCUUGUCUCAAAAAUAAAGUGAAAAGAGGCGGAGGAUGUAGCUCCGUGUGAAGGCCCUGGGUUCAAUCCCCAGUACUGCCAAAAAGUAAAAUGAAUCAAUAAAAGCAGCACCAUGCCUCCCUAACGCUGGGUCAGGCUACGGUCGGUCCGGAGACAGGGCCCUGAGUGCAGCCACGCCAGGGCUGGGGGCAUCAUGGCCUGACCUGAGCCAGCCUGAGUGCCUUCCUGUGACGGAGCUUACAGGUAAUCACAUCCGGUUUUGACAAAUGGGCCGCUGAGCUCACGACUGCUCUGCUGUAAUAAUGCAGGGGUCAGGGCAUCGAUCCGGAAGAAACUCACCCGGCACGGCCCCUGCAGACCUGGUGUCCUCUCGACCUCCAGCUGGACGUGAAGCCAGCACUCGGCCCGCACAGAAACAAGGCACCCCUGCCACUGCACCAGAACAGGCCGGCGACGUCUCUGAGGCACCCAUUGCUCAUGCACACCUUCAGCACAGAGUUCCUGAGCACCGACUGUGAGCUGGCUCUGCUGUGGAUUCGGGGAAUGAACAGCAGGCAAAAUCUGGCUUCUGAGCUUAACUUUGUUGGAAGACAAUGGCAAGAAGCAAAUCUGUGAUUAUAGUAUGCAG